AUGGCAACGAAGGAAUAUUUCUUCCGCUAUGGGUCCUUCUCAAUUAAGGAUGGCUCGAAAAUUAGAUUUUGUGAGGAUAAAUGGUUAGGUAAUGAUACUCUCCGGGAACAAUAUCCAGCUCUAUACAAUAUUGUACGUCACAAGGGUGAUACUAUUGCCAAGGUUUUGGAAUCAUUUCCGCCAAAUGUGAUGUUUAGAAGGGAUUUAAUUGGACCUAGACUCCAAUCAUGGAACAUACUACUUCAACGAUUAACCACGGCACAAUUGUCAUAGGGGUCCGAUUUAUCUCGUUGGAACCUACAUGGGAAUGGGCAAUUCUCAGUGGAGUCUAUGUAUAGAGCUUUGAUCCAGUCUGACAUGCCAGUUGAUAAUAAGAAGAAGAUCUAG
rnacentral:rRNA from 1 species